UACGAAGGGGGCUAGCGUUGCUCGGAAUCACUGGGCGUAAAGGGUGCGUAGGCGGGUUUUUAAGUCAGGGGUGAAAUCCUGGAGCUCAACUCCAGAACUGCCUUUGAUACUGAAGAUCUUGAGUCCGGGAGAGGUGAGUGGAACUGCGAGUGUAGAGGUGAAAUGCGUAGAUAUUGGGAGGAACACCAGAGGCGAAGGCGGCGACCUGGAUCAGCACUGACACUCAACUACGAAAGCGUGGGUAGCAAACAGG
rnacentral:rRNA from 1 species